GUUUGUCUUUAAAAAAAAAAAAAAGGAAAAAAAAAAACCCUUUUCCUCUGUUGUGUUAGCCAUUACAGGUUAGAGACAGACACAGACAUCUGAACACCUUUGAAAGCUGGCGGGUGUCUCUCCUGGUCACAGGUGAGGGUGCUCAGCUGUGAGGGGAUGUGUGCUCCUGUGUGCACCAUGUUUACAUUGGAGUGGGGGGUGGUGCCAAGACAGUGGACCACUAAAGUGGCCUUCAUUGUUCAGCUGUCAGGGACUCGCUCUCUCCGAGAAUUCAGGUUAGCACUCCUCCUGAGGGCAGCUCUUCCCAACCAGAAGAGAAGCAUGAGUGAGUAGUGAGGAGAUCACCUGAUGUUGCCUUCUGUCCCACAUCAUAAUAAGGGUGUGUAAGGAUACCCUCCAUAGUGUUAGGUCCUGCUCUAACUAGAGAACGGUCACUUGGCGCACUUUAAUAAUCUGGCACAUUCCAGGUUGUGGUUUGGAUACUCCGUAGUAUCUAUUUUUUUGAUCAGUUGAAUGAUCAGUGUUUAAAUAUCAAACCGUGCUUUCCUGAAAAUGUUGAUAUUGUAUUGCUGUUUCCUUAUUGCCUGCUAGCCAAAGGGGAUCAGGGGCAGCAACUGUUGGGAUACCUGUGUUUCCUUACCCUCCUCUGGCCCUAGAAACCCUACCUGUAAAUAAGCAGUUGAAGCGAGUGUCCCUGAGGAGGAGUGAUACACUCGGCUUCAUCAGUAUUAAAACCUAUGGUACUUACUUGUCUUUUUUAAUUAAAACUAUUUUCUGAGUGUGGUACUUUGAACCUUGGUCUAUUUCCAUAUGUUCCUGUUGAAAACUGUGACUUACUGGUGGAAGUCUCACUAGCUGCAAUCCCCUGUCGUUGAGCUUAAGCUAUAGUUCAAAAUAUACUUACCAAUUAUGUUGUUGCUGGGUAAUUAUUUUUACUUCAUUAGCAGGUAUUUUAAAGAUCAUUAACACAGAGAAUUGUCCCAUUAUAAACGUCAUGACUGAAAAUAGAUUUUUUUACAAAUGACUUUUAAGUCAGUGCUGGCCUGCAUUGUGCUACGCUGUGACUCCUGGUCCAUACUGAAGCUUAAAAGAGUCCUUCAAAUCUGACAGACUUAUGGAUCUAAUUAACUAUACUGUUACAGGUGUUUUUUAAAAACAUUAGCCAUUUAAUAAAUUUAUCAUGAACUUCAUAUUAAAAUGCCUACUUAGAUUCUCUCAAAUGUCUUCCUAAAAAGGACAAAACCCAGGGGCAUUGAAGUUCAAGACUCUAGAGUGGUUUGGGAUCAUCUGUUCGUUGUUUUGUUUAGGGGUUUUUCUCCCUCACCCCACCCCUCAAAAAAGGAUGAUUUCCUAAUGAUUUCUUCACUCUAUGUCCCUGGCUGGCCUAGAACUCAUAGAAAUCCACCUGCCUCCGCUCCUGAGUGCGGGGAUUAAAUGUGUAUCACCACAUCUGGCUCACCUGGUCUUUCUAAUAUCAAACUCCAAUUGCAAGUAUUUUUAAUGAUCAUAGGGUCACAGGGGCCAAAGCUGUAUACAUGUGUAACUCUGAGAGCUCAAUAUUGUAGUUCUUUUAUUCACAUGACCUUUUAAACAGCCAGCUUGACUGGAAUUAAUUAGCCAGCUUGGUACAGUGUAAAAAGAGAAAUACAAAACUAAUUUUCUUUAGUAAGUCUUUUCCAAUCAGAAACUAUGUCCACAGAGUCCAAGGACAGUCAGGGCCCUUCUCGGGGCUUCUCCUAUGCUGUGCUCUUGCGUACUUAGAGUCUUACCUCCAUGGUCUCCUUUCUCUGCUUCUGCAAAGAGCAUUUGAAAAAAAAAAACAUAUAUACGUACACACACACACACACACACACACACACACAUGGUUUUUGUAUAUGUAUAUAUAUAUACACACACACACAUGUAUGUGUAUGUAUAUAUAUAUAUAUGAACAGAAGAUGAUAGGAGGAAACUUAGCACAGUCACUCACUAGCUCUGACUCCUAGUGGAGCUGUAUCCAUCCAUUGAGAUUAUACUGAUCUGUUGUUUAGCUUUCUUUUAAAUCAUCACCUGGUAAGACACUGGGCAACAGCAAAAGUUUUGGUUUUGGUUUGGUUUUUUUUUUUUUUUACUCCCAGGAAUAUAAUUUAUCAAAUCAAACUAUUUUGCUUACCAAAGAACUAUGUUUUUAAUAUCACGGGUAAUAGCUAAGCAUCAAAACUGGGCUCUUAUUUUACCAACAAGAAACAUCAUGUGACUGAUGGCUGGGGUUUGUCUGUGUCUCCAAGGCCGAAUUGCAUUCUUUUACUGGAAAAGUUCAUUCAAGCUAGGUUUUAGAAAAUAC
rnacentral:lncRNA from 1 species